rnacentral:rRNA from 1 species
AUUGAACGCUGGCGGCAUGCCUUACACAUGCAAGUCGAACGGCAGCACGGGUGCUUGCACCUGGUGGCGAGUGGCGAACGGGUGAGUAAUACAUCGGAACAUGUCCUGUAGUGGGGGAUAGCCCGGCGAAAGCCGGAUUAAUACCGCAUACGAUCCACGGAUGAAAGCGGGGGACCUUCGGGCCUCGCGCUAUAGGGUUGGCCGAUGGCUGAUUAGCUAGUUGGUGGGGUAAAGGCCUACCAAGGCGACGAUCAGUAGCUGGUCUGCGAGGACGACCAGCCACACUGGGACUGAGCCACGGCCCAGACUCCUACGGGAGGCAGCAGUGGGGAAGUUUGGACAAUGGGCGAAAGCCUGAUCCAGCAAUGCCGCGUGUGUGAAGAAGGCCUUCGGGUUGUAAAGCACUUUUGUCCGGAAAGAAAUCCUUGACUCUAAUACAGUCGGGGGAUGACGGUACCGGAAGAAUAAGCACCGGCUAACUACGUG